CGCACAUUGGUAUUUGGGAUGUUAUGUUGUAUGCAUUUGGCAUGUUAACCAAUCACAAAUGAUUGUAAAUGCUGGCUUAGAUCAUAGAUCGCAUUUUAAUGGAGCAAAUUUGAUUAUGAAGAAGAAGAAGAGACUUUUGCCAGCUACAUUAGUUCCACUCGUUUGGUAAAAAUGAAAGGACAUUUAAUGUAAAAGUUAUAAUGCAGAAACCUCUAUUUAUUUGACAAUCUGGGAACAUGACAGCUAAGCUAAAAUAUAAAGGUUAGGUUUUCAAGAUUGACAAUACACGCAGGGUGGAUAAAGACAUGCUUCAACACAUGCAGAUGGCCUCUGUGUUUUUGUUUUAUAGUUUGCUUGUUUGGCACAGCGAGCAGGUCAACACUGCAUGAAAUCAGCACUCUAUGGCACUUGAGUGGUUUCUCAUGCUAAUUAUUGCAGUGCUUUAGUCACCUUGCUAAAAGACAGCAGUGUGCCUGUUUUUGAUGAAAAGCGUAGAGCUGGGCUGAAUUUUAAUGGUCCAAAUGCAAGAAUCAGGCUUUGAAACACAUGUGGCUUGCUUUCCGCAACACAAAAUAUAAUGAAGGUGUGAAUCUGUAAGUAAUUGAAAGCAAUUAAUUUGCAAGAUAGUUAGAGUUAAAUGUUUUGACACGCGUAGCCUAUUGUCUAUAAGAGACAGUCAUCCUUUCCAUAUUUAGGACAAAAGGUGAAAUAUAUCUUUUGUAGAUUUGUAUGAAGUUCUGUUUGUGCCAAAAGGUGUUACAGUUUUUUUUUUCUUAGCAUACUGACUUUGCAUCUGUCUGAAGUCCUCACUACUGUUUAAUGCAUGUUCUUUCAGUUGGCAUAAAGUUAUGUAUGAAUGCAAAUGAUUUAACUGAACUGAUGUGCAAAGUCAAACAACAGAGGCAAUCGACAAAGUCAAACGAGAAAAACACCACACAAUCAAACACAAGACGUGCCCAAAGUCAAGGAAAAGAACAGCAAGAAGAAAAUGUGUAAACAAAGAUGAAACGUGACAGUGAUGUACGCACAUUUCUCGUAUUCCAAACCUGGGUAACAGCCUUUUCUCCCUGUUAAGGUCAGGAAGAAGGUACCAGAUACACCAGCCCAGCACAGAGAGGCUCAGAAGGAGCUUCUACCCUCAGGAGCUGCCAGGACAGCAGACGGGAGCCUACAGGUAACUACUUUAAGUACUCUCAGUAAUCAUGGAAGACGCUGCUGUUGAAGACAAGGACGUGUGAGGAGUUACACAAAGGUAAG